GAUGAACGCUGGCGGCGUGCCUAAUACAUGCAAGUCGAGCGAACAGACGAGGAGCUUGCUCCUCUGACGUUAGCGGCGGACGGGUGAGUAACACGUGGAUAACCUACCUAUAAGACUGGGAUAACUUCGGGAAACCGGAGCUAAUACCGGAUAAUAUAUUGAACCGCAUGGUUCAAUAGUGAAAGACGGUUUUGCUGUCACUUAUAGAUGGAUCCGCGCCGCAUUAGCUAGUUGGUAAGGUAACGGCUUACCAAGGCAACGAUGCGUAGCCGACCUGAGAGGGUGAUCGGCCACACUGGAGCUGAGACACGGUCCAGACUCCUACGGGAGGCAGCAGUAGGGAAUCUUCCGCAAUGGGCGAAAGCCUGACGGAGCAACGCCGCGUGAGUGAUGAAGGUCUUCGGAUCGUAAAACGCUGUUAUUAGGGAAGAACAAAUGUGUAAGUAACUAUGCACGUCUUGACGGUACCUAAUCAGAAAGCCACGGCUAACUACGU
rnacentral:rRNA from 1 species